UCUCCGUAGGUGAACCUGCGGAGGGAUCAUUACAAGUGACCCCGGUCUUACCACCGGGAUGUUCAUAACCCUUUGUUGUCCGACUCUGUUGCCUCCGGGGCGACCCUGCCUUCGGGCGGGGGCUCCGGGUGGACACUUCAAACUCUUGCGUAACUUUGCAGUCUGAGUAAACUUAAUUAAUAGAUUAAAACUUUUAACAACGGAUCUCUUGGUUCUGACAUCGAUGAAGAACGCAGC
rnacentral:misc_RNA from 1 species